rnacentral:rRNA from 1 species
AUUGAACGCUGGCGGCAGGCCUAACACAUGCAAGUCGAACGGUAACAGGAAGCAGCUUGCUGCUUCGCUGACGAGUGGCGGACGGGUGAGUAAUGUCUGGGAAGCUGCCUGAUGGAGGGGGAUAACUACUGGAAACGGUAGCUAAUACCGCAUAAUGUCGCAAGACCAAAGAGGGGGACCUUCGGGCCUCUUGCCAUCGGAUGUGCCCAGAUGGGAUUAGCUUGUUGGUGGGGUAACGGCUCACCAAGGCGACGAUCCCUAGCUGGUCUGAGAGGAUGACCAGCCACACUGGAACUGAGACACGGUCCAGACUCCUACGGGAGGCAGCAGUGGGGAAUAUUGCACAAUGGGCGCAGGCCUGAUGCAGCCAUGCCGCGUGUAUGAAGAAGGCCUUCGGGUUGUAAAGUACUUUCAGCGGGGAGGAAGGGAGUAAAGUUAAUACCUUUGCUCAUUGACGUUACCCGCAGAAGAAGCACCGGCUAACUCCG